rnacentral:rRNA from 1 species
GUAGGGAAUAUUGGGCAAUGGUCGGAAGACUGACCCAGCCAUGCCGCGUGCAGGAAGACGGCCCUCUGGGUUGUAAACUGCUUUUAUCUGGGAAGAAAAAGGCCAUGCGUGGCAAAUUGCCGGUACCAGAUGAAUAAGCACCGGCUAACUCCGUGCCAGCAGCCGCGGUAAUACGGAGGGUGCAAGCGUUGUCCGGAUUUAUUGGGUUUAAAGGGUGCGUAGGCGGCUGAUUAAGUCAGCGGUGAAAGACUCCGGCUUAACCGGAGCAGUGCCGUUGAUACUGGUUAGCUUGAGUGUUGGAGGGGUACAUGGAAUUGAUGGUGUAGCGGUGAAAUGCAUAGAUACCAUCAGGAACACCGAUAGCGAAGGCAUUGUACUGGCCAACAACUGACGCUGAUGCACGAAAGUGUGGGGAUCGAACAGGAUUAGAAACCCCAGUAGUCC